rnacentral:rRNA from 1 species
UACGUAGGGUGCAAGCGUUACUCGGAAUUACUGGGCGUAAAGCGUGCGCAGGCGGUUCGCUAAGUCAGAUGUGAAAUCCCCGGGCUUAACCUGGGAACUGCAUUUGUGACUGGCGGGCUAGAGUAUGGCAGAGGGGGGUAGAAUUCCACGUGUAGCAGUGAAAUGCGUAGAGAUGUGGAGGAAUACCGAUGGCGAAGGCAGCCCCCUGGGCCAAUACUGACGCUCAUGCACGAAAGCGUGGGGAGCAAACAGG